GCAGCAGUGGGGAAUCUUCCGCAAUGGACGAAAGUCUGACGGAGCAACGCCGCGUGUAUGAUGAAGGUCUUCGGAUUGUAAAGUACUGUCUUUGGGGAAGAAUGGUGUGCUUUGGAAUAUAGAGUACAUAUGACGGUACCCAAGGAGGAAGCCCCGGCUAACUACGUGCCAGCAGCCGCGGUAAUACGUAGGGGGCAAGCGUUGUCCGGAAUUAUUGGGCGUAAAGGGCGCGUAGGCGGAUAGUUAAGUCCGGUGUGAAAGAUCAGGGCUCAACCCUGAGAGUGCAUCGGAAACUGGUUAUCUUGAGGACAGGAGAGGAAAGUGGAAUUCCUAGUGUAGCGGUGAAAUGCGUAGAUAUUAGGAGGAACACCAGUGGCGAAGGCGACUUUCUGGACUGUAACUGACGCUGAGGCGCGAAAGCGUGGGGAGCAAACAGGAUUAGAUACCCUGGUAGUCCACGCUGUAAACGAUGAGUGCUAGGUGUAGAGGGUAUCGACCCCUUCUGUGCCGCAGUUAACACAAUAAGCACUCCGCCUG
rnacentral:rRNA from 1 species